AUGAACGCUGGCGGCGUGCCUCAUACAUGCAAGUCGAGCGAACAGACGAGGAGCUUGCUCCUCUGACGUUAGCGGCGGACGGGUGAGUAACACGUGGAUAACCUACCUAUAAGACUGGGAUAACUUCGGGAAACCGGAGCUAAUACCGGAUAAUAUAUUGAACCGCAUGGUUCAAUAGUGAAAGACGGUUUUGCUGUCACUUAUAGAUGGAUCCGCGCCGCAUUAGCUAGUUGGUAAGGUAACGGCUUACCAAGGCAACGAUGCGUAGCCGACCUGAGAGGGUGAUCGGGCACACUGGAACUGAGACACGGUCCAGACUCCUACGGGAGGCAGCAGUAGGGAAUCUUCCGCAAUGGGCGAAAGCCUGACGGAGCAACGCCGCGUGAGUGAUGAAGGUCUUCGGAUCGUAAAACUCUGUUAUUAGGGAAGAACAAAUGUGUAAGUAACUAUGCACGUCUUGACGGUACCUAAUCAGAAAGCCACGGCUAACUACGUG
rnacentral:rRNA from 1 species